AUAUUUUUGGCAGCACAUAUACUAAAAUUGGAAUGAUAGAGAAAAUUAGCAUGGCUCCUACACAAGGAUGACCCACAAAUUCAUGAAGCGUUCCAUAUCAUA